rnacentral:rRNA from 1 species
GAUGAACGCUGGCGGCGUGCCUAAUACAUGCAAGUCGAGCGAACAGAUAAGGAGCUUGCUCCUUUGACGUUAGCGGCGGACGGGUGAGUAACACGUGGGUAACCUACCUAUAAGACUGGGAUAACUUCGGGAAACCGGAGCUAAUACCGGAUAACAUUUGGAACCGCAUGGUUCUAAAGUGAAAGAUGGUUUUGCUAUCACUUAUAGAUGGACCCGCGCCGUAUUAGCUAGUUGGUAAGGUAACGGCUUACCAAGGCAACGAUACGUAGCCGACCUGAGAGGGUGAUCGGCCACACUGGAACUGAGACACGGUCCAGACUCCUACGGGAGGCAGCAGUAGGGAAUCUUCCGCAAUGGGCGAAAGCCUGACGGAGCAACGCCGCGUGAGUGAUGAAGGGUUUCGGCUCGUAAAACUCUGUUAUUAGGGAAGAACAAAUGUGUAAGUAACUGUGCACGUCUGGACGGUACCUAAUCAGAAAGCCACGGCUAACUACGU